AGCAGCAGCCACGGGAACACAGAGGGUGCGAGCGUUAAUCGGAUUUACUGGGCGUAAAGCGUGCGUAGGCGGCUUCUUAAGUCGGAUGUGAAAUCCCUGAGCUUAACUUAGGAAUUGCAUUCGAUACUGGGAAGCUAGAGUAUGGGAGAGGAUGGUAGAAUUCCAGGUGUAGCGGUGAAAUGCGUAGAGAUCUGGAGGAAUACCGAUGGCGAAGGCAGCCAUCUGGCCUAAUACUGACGCUGAGGUACGAAAGCAUGGGGAGCAAACAGGAUUAGAUACCCCUGUAGUCCCUGUCUCUUAUAC
rnacentral:rRNA from 1 species